GCGGGUAUAGCUCAGUCGGUUAGAGCACCUGGUUGUGGUCCAGGGGGUCGUCGGUUCGAAUCCGUCUACUCGCC
rfam:Insolitispirillum peregrinum strain DSM 11589 genome assembly, contig: Ga0111619_101